AACGGUCUAUACCUGCGGUACCUGCGGAGGGAUCAUUACCGAGUCUCCGACUCCCAAACCACUGUGAACCUACCUCUUUAGCGCUCCGCCGGGCCGGCCCCGGGGGGUCGGUUGCCGCUAGGCGCCCGGCGGAGCUCUGGAAAACCUCUCUCAGCGAGCUUCUGAGUCUUGUCUCUAAAAGAGUCACAACUUUCAACAAUGGAUCUCU
rnacentral:misc_RNA from 1 species